rnacentral:piRNA from 1 species
UUGAAUACGUUAUCUGGAUGU